UAAACCCAGACAGAAUAUGCCAAGCUGA
rnacentral:piRNA from 1 species